CUGAACUCCAAAAGAUUGACCUCCAGAGCUUCAAUUUUCUGUUCACCUGACACAUCACUGCAACUACAUAGUUCUGCGUGGAAACCAUCUUCACUCUUCAAUCUUCCAAAUACAUCUGAUGGAGCCUCCAGGGAGCUAUGCUUUGGGAUGCAUAGGAAGUUCAGUUUCUCCAGCUCUCACCAUUUGGGCAGUAUAACUUCACUAAUAUGCAGCAUUUGGUGACCUGCACACUCACAGGAUGGGAUCUGCAGGAGAAGCAUGUUGCCAUGGUGUUCUGAAUCUAAUAAGAAAUGCAGAACUCUGAAACAGCACACAAACUUCAUAAUCUACCUGAUAAGAAUCAUCAUUUACAAAGAGACUUUUCCUUGCAGAUUUUUGCUCAUUGCAUGUGUACUGUUACUAAAUAAAUAAGGAAGGGAAAAAAAAGGCAGCUAAGCAAGGUCAAAGUUGGACAAAAGCAAAGUUUUGACUUAUAAACAGCUAAUUAAUUCUGGUAGAGCAAAUCUAGAUUAAUGAGACAAAUGACAUAGAACACUGCAAAUCCAAUUAUUCAGAUUAAUGACAUUUAUUGAUAGAAUAAAUAUAGCCAAUUUAUAAUUCAAUACUAAAGUUAUUAUAAUUUAUACUAUAUCCAAAAGUGUGCAUAGAUGCUUCAGCCUAUCAUAAAUUGUCUUACAGUACAAGUGGCUGGAGAAGCUCGGAAAGUCACUUUUAAAAAGCACCUACUAGUUUGGAUUUGAAUUAAAACUUCUCCUCUACAAAAGCAAAAUGAAGAUCUCCCCAAAACAUGUAUUCUGGCUGGGUUUGGGAUUUCUACUUCCAGUUGUUUCCAAAAUGAAACAAUGAGAAAUAUGACCAAAAAGAACUCAAGGUACAGGUUGAGUUCUGGGUGACAAUUAAGCUCAAAUAUCAUUUUGUCUCAACUGGUAUGUCCAUUCCUACAAGUGUGUGUUGGGAACAAAAUCUGUUUGAUCAAGGGAGCCUCAAUCCAAGAAACAUAUACCGGAGUUCUCAUGCUUAUACUAUUAAAACAUCCUUGAAAUAGUUCUCAAAAGUGUUGCAGCCAAUAUAGGUGAAUUCUUACAGAUGAAAGAGGACCCAAUCACAGAAAUAGGAGUUAAUAGGUAGCUUAGGUACAAGUCAUCAUAUCUUGAUGACAUUUAUAAUGUAUAAGCAGAAUAACAUUAAGAUUAAUUGAUUAUUUACACACAUAUCUGUAGAGCACUAUUAUUGUCCAGAGCGGUAAACAAUUAUGAACCAAAUUAGCUAAGAGGAAGAAUUUAACCAAAAAUAUGAAUGAUGAUAGAGAAUCAUUUAAGAACUCCUUAUUAUAUGUCCAAAGUGCCUCAAUCCCACAGCUGAGGAAGAAGUCUGUGCUGUUUAAAAACAAACACACACAGAAAUCUGGUAUAAAGAGGAAAUGAAGAUAGAUAUAAAAAAACAAACAAAAUAAUGUGUAAUUGAUGGGAGAAUUGGAAAAUUGAUAUUAAUGAAUAUAAAAAAAUAAGAAUUGUAGAAAAUGGAUAAGAGAAGCCAAGGAAUAUCCAAAAAAUCUAUAGGCAGCAGAAUUAAGUACAAAAAGGAGGAAUUUUUAAAAUAAAUUAGGAACUAAAGGAAUCCUGACAAUGGUGUUGGUCUGUUACUAGAUGGCAAUGGUAGAAUCAUCAAUAAUAAUGCAGAAAAAAUCAGAAGAGUUAAAUACAUGUUUGGCUGCGUCUAGGCUGGCAUGAUUUUGCGGAAAUACUUUUAACAGAAAAGCUUUUCCGUUAAAAGUAUU